AGAGUUUGAUCAUGGCUCAGGAUGAACGCUGGCGGCGUGCCUAAUACAUGCAAGUAGAACGCUGAAGGAAGGAGCUUGCUCUUUCCGGAUGAGUUGCGAACGGGUGAGUAACGCGUAGGUAACCUGCCUGGUAGCGGGGGAUAACUAUUGGAAACGAUAGCUAAUACCGCAUAACAGUAGAUAUUGCAUGAUAUCUGCUUGAAAGGUGCAAUUGCAUCACUACCAGAUGGACCUGCGUUGUAUUAGCUAGUUGGUGAGGUAACGGCUCACCAGGGCGACGAUACAUAGCCGACCUGAGAGGGUGAUCGGCCACACUGGGACUGAGACACGGCCCAGACUCCUACGGGAGGCAGCAGUAGGGAAUCUUCGGCAAUGGACGGAAGUCUGACCGAGCAACGCCGCGUGAGUGAAGAAGGUUUUCGGAUCAUAAAGCUCUGUUGUAAGAGAAGAACGAGUGUGAGAGUGGAAAGUUCACACUGUGACGGUAUCUUACCAGAAAGGGACGGCUAACUACGUGCCAGCAGCCGCGGUAAU
rnacentral:rRNA from 1 species